rnacentral:rRNA from 1 species
AGGGCACCACCAGGAGUGGAGCCUGCGGCUUAAUUUGACUCAACACGGGAAAACUUACCGGGCCCGGACACUGGAAGGAUUGACAGAUUGAGAGCUCUUUCUUGAUUCAGUGGGUGGUGGUGCAUGGCCGUUCUUAGUUGGUGGGGCGAUUUGUCUGGUUAAUUCCGAUAACGAACGAGACUCUAGCCUACUAAAUAGACUGUUCAGCUUUAUAGCCGGAAUCACCGGGCGUGUAGCUUUCGGGUUGCGCGUUCGGCUCUGGUGACGUUGGCAGUGCUUCUUAGAGGGACAGGCGGCGGUUCAGCCGCACGAAACAGAGCAAUAACAGGUCUGUGAUGCCCUUAGAUGUCCGGGGCUGCACGCGCGCUACACUGAAGUGAUCAGCGUGCAAUUUACGUUUGGUGAUCUGUCAAGAUUGCCCAACCCGUUGAACCUUCUUCGUGAUUGGGAUAGGGGAUUGUAAUUAUUCCCCUUGAACGUGGAAUUCCCAGUGAGCGCGAGUCAUAAGCUCGCGUUGAU